rnacentral:lncRNA from 1 species
GGGAAUUCAUCAAAUUAGUUAUCAUAAAUUGCCAAGCCAAAAUAGCUUGGCCCAUGAACAUGUCAAUUAGGCCCCUCGAUUUAAUUCACAUUCAAUUGAGCUUUUGUCAUUAACAAAAAAAAAAUAAUAUUAUGGCCCUUCAUUAUCUAUUUUCAUCUUUGACCACGUUGAUUGCUAAAAUCAGCUAACGGACCAAUCAAAAGGCAACAUGUAGCAACCCUUGAUUUAA